AGAUUGAACGCUGGCGGCAGGCCUAACACAUGCAAGACGAGCGGCAGCACGGGUACUUGUACCUGGUGGCGAGCGGCGGACGGGUGAGUAAUGCCUAGGAAUCUGCCUGAUAGUGGGGGAUAACGCUCGGAAACGGACGCUAAUACCGCAUACGUCCUACGGGAGAAAGCGAGGGGACCUUCGGGCCUUGCGCUAUCAGAUGAGCCUAGGU
rnacentral:rRNA from 1 species